rnacentral:guide_RNA from 1 species
GUACGUGUAUAAUACUUUGUAUUGGGUAGAUUGGUA